rnacentral:rRNA from 1 species
AGAGUUGAUCAUGGCUCAGGACGAACGCUGGCGGCGUGCCUAAUACAUGCAAGUCGAGCGAAUGACGAGGAGCUUGCUCCUCUGAUUAGCGGCGGACGGGUGAGUAACACGUGGGCAACCUGCCCUGUAGACUGGGAUAACUUCGGGAAACCGGAGCUAAUACCGGAUAAUCCAUUUCACCUCAUGGUGAAAUGUUGAAAGGCGCUUCGGCGUCACUACAGGAUGGGCCCGCGGUGCAUUAGCUAGUUGGUGGGUAACGGCCUACCAAGGCAACGAUGCAUAGCCGACCUGAGAGGGUGAUCGGCCACAUUGGGACUGAGACACGGCCCAAACUCCUACGGGAGGCAGCAGUAGGGAAUCUUCCACAAUGGACGAAAGUCUGAUGGAGCAACGCCGCGUGAGUGAUGAAGGUUUUCGGAUCGUAAAACUCUGUUGUAAGGGAAGAACAAGUACGUUAGGAAAUGAACGUACCUUGACGGUACCUUAUUAGAAAGCCACGGCUAACUACGUGCCAGCAGCGGC